UUGGACUUCAGGAACCCCAGGCAAUAUCAAUGUGAAUCAGCUGUUAUAAACGAGUAUCGAUCCAUGCCACAUGGAAUAUAUUACUGAAGGAUUUACUUUCCCAAUAGCUGCUUUAGAGGACCAGCAUCGAAUAAUACAGCAGUUUGCGGGUGAGGGGGGGCGAUAACGAAAGAAUGAGAGAAUAGCAAGGAAACGAAAAAGAAGCAAGAGAAAUGGAUCAAACCCGACCCAGAUGGAACGGAUGUUGGCUGACUGGGAAUCGCAACUUGACCUGGCUUGCAGCAUGCACAGGCUAAAUUGGAAAGCUCAUUGACAUGGGCCACAGUGAAGACUGAGCUCAAGAACUGAAGUUUUGCUUGUGAUAACAAUUGGUAUUCUGAGGCUGGGUUGACUUUGCUGAUGAUAUGACCAUGUUUGAUGCAGGGCUGUACUGAACAUGUCUACAUGAAUGCUUCUUGCUGACUUGUGUUGUCUGAUGCAGAGAAUGAUUGCAGUUCCCCUGGCAUUUUUCCCUUUGCAUAAAUUUUUUUCCAAAACUAUCCAUUUGUGAAUGCUUACCAGCAUUGGAGAAGUGGUGUGGACUAAUAGCCAAUGUGCAAUAAUAUCCAUUGUGAAUGCUUACCAGCUUUGGAGAAGUGGUGUGGACUGAUAGCCAAUGUUCAUGCUAUCAACUGGUGCUUGCACAAAGACUAAUUAAAGGCUCCCAGAUCUGAUU